UAUAUUAACACCAUAGAUGAGCCCUGCACUAGUAACUUUUCUUCUUCCCUACUCUCACACCACCAGCCAGCAGUCCUUUCUGGCUUGGAGUCUGAAGGAAGCUCACGACAUGGCCGUCUGGUAUGUCAGAGUUGGGAACAGAAAGAAAAUAAUAUCAACGACUUUUAUUUGGGAAUCCAGGAGUUAAAGGUACACAUAGACCUAACACUUAACUAGCAAAAUUUAUAACUAUCUAUAUUCUUCUCUUAACUUUCACCAAGCUUUUACUGUAUUCCUUUAUUUAUAGAAAUGAAAAUUGAAUGAUGCUAUAUGUAACAGCAAAGGGUGAAUUUUACAUAGUGUUGAGUAAAGGAAGCUGGUCAUAUCAGUAUUAUAUGAAUCUUUUUGGGAAUAGCUUCCCUACCACAUUAUUGAUUAGUUGUGUCUGGUAUUGAAUAUAGAUUAGUCAUAUCUGGUAGGGAAUAGCUCUGGGUAGAAGGAUUUUGGCUGGAAGGGACAUAAAGAGGCCAUCCAGGAUGCUGGAGACAGUCUGUCAUUUGCGCUGGGGGAAGAUAUUAUUUACAGCAUUCACAGGUAUUGAAUUUUACCAAGUGAGACUUGUGUACCUUACCAUAUAUAUUACAUACCUCAAUAAAAUUUAAAUAAAAGGGAGCAGUGUGUUCUUGUACAAGGCUUCUGUGAAGUGAGUAGUAAAGAACUUUUUUUCUGUUUUUCAACUUGGACGUUUUGUGUGAUGAUGACAUUUAUAUGAUUACAUAAUCUCUUUUUUAUAACUUUCUUUUAGGGGUUGCUAUAUCCUAGGUGAAGUUCAAGAAAAAAGGUGAUGCUUAUAGAUGAGAGAGGUAUAUUCUUGGUGUCUACUGGUACAUAAGAGACUAUUAGAAGCCUGUACAGAAGUGCUGCCAAGGAAACACAAAGACAAAGCUUAAAGACUUCAAGACAAAGCUUUCAUCUCCCCAUGAAAUACUAGCUGAAGGCAGAAGGACUGGAUAGUGGGAGAGGUUACAGAACAGAAAGACAGAAUAAUGACAGAACAAAAGAAACAAUGGACAUAAUUUUGAUCUUCUGACUCACGAUGGCUGCAGUAACUACCAAGGAUAUGGAUGGCUCACUUUUGGGGAAGUAGUGACCACAUUUUCUGCUGUAGGAGAGUUAAUUGUAUUAUUUAUUGCACUAUUAUUACAUUGUUUCUGCCUGUCUGUCUUUAAGAGCUGUAGUGGCAAUUUGUCUUUAGGGCCAUCUAAUAUCUAUGGGAAAUCAUAUUGGCAGAAUUCCUUAUCUUACAGGUCUCAACUUGGCUUCAACCACAAAAGUGGAAAAUGCAAGAAGUUGCUUGCAGCUAAAGUUGUGCACAUAACGCAGGCCUUAUCAGUCAUGUAUGGAAUUGAAAGUUAGUGAUGCAAAAAAGAAAAUCCAUUCUGAUGAUGGGUUGUGUGAGUGGCAAUUGCAGUAUGCACAGUUUCCCAUCCUGCGGGAUCAUUUUGGGUGCUAUUUUUGGCAGAGCAUCUCCAAUUUUCUGAUUCUCAUGCCCCCUGGGUGAGACUGAGUUAUUCAAUAUCCUUUGUAUAAAUUUAUUUUCUGCCAGUUUCAACUAGAGUAACUUCGACUACUUUCAAAUAAAAACAUUCACUCAUAAAAUAUGGGAUGGUGAUUAUAAACAAUAAGUGAAGUAAAGAAUUUCCUAAAAAGUUAGAGCAACCUAAUGCUAAGAGUGGGAAAAGGAAAUUUUCACAGUGAAAAGACUAAAUUUGCUCAUACAAAAAUUUUGGCAGUGAUUAUUUAUAGUUUCUGGGGUUAUAAGUAGUUCUACUCUUCUUUCUUUUCUCUAUUCCUUCCUCUCUCCCUUAUUCUCAACUUUCUCAUUUUAUUACUUAUUUUUAUUAUUUUUAAAGUUUUUAUUUAUUUAUUUAAUUUAUUUGAGAGGCAGAGUUACAGACAGGAUGAGACAGAGAGAGAGGUCUUCCAUCUGCUAGUUCACUCCCCAGAUAGCAACAAUGACAGGAGCUGGGCUGAUCCAAAGCCAGGAACCAGCAGCUUCUUCAGGGUCUCCCAUUUUCUAUUGCUUCCCCAGGCCAUAGCAGAGAGCUGGAUCAGAAGAAGGGCACCUGGGACACAAACCAGCACCCAAAUGGGAUGCCCGCACUGCAGGCAGAGGCUUAGCCCACUACCCAACAGCGCCAGCCCCUUAUUCCUGCUUUUAAAAAUACCUUUAUAACAUUCUUUUAGCACAAAUGAAACAGCUAAAACAUUUUAAUGACUGUAGAAACAUGAGGCAGAAGUAGAAUUUAAUGUUUGUGCAAAUGACAGAAAUAGAUGGGAAAUGAGGAAGUAAGUUCAAGAGAGAUUACUAACUCAAAGUCACACAAGUUAAGCUGCAGAUAGGACCAGGGCUCAGAUCUUCAUUCAUUCAACAAAGAGGUCUGUGUCGGCAGCUUGUAGGCACAGUCAAGAGAGUAAUGAAUGAGCUGGAUAAGGUGACUCCUCUACUGAAGCUUAAAUAACCAAGUAAACCAACAAAUAAUAUAAUUUUAACAAACGAUAAAAGCCAAGGACAAAAUAAGAGCUAUAUAGUACAAAAUGGUUGGUGUGCAGACAUGGAGAACAGGAGAGGUUCUUAGCAGAAUUAACAUUUCAGCUGAAAGCUGAAUGGUAAGGGACAAGAAACAGGAGUGUCUGGUGAAGAGAAUUUCAGGAAAAAAGAACCAUGUGAGGCCAGAAGCAGGCAUGAGUUUGUAAAGGCAAAGGGAAGAGGGGAACUGUGGACAUGGAAAUAUGAUUAGAGAUAUAGAAAGGGACAUAAUGUGCAAUGGUUUAAAAAAAAGUUAAAAGCAUAAGUUGUGGCCCUUGGAACAAUUUUAUUUGCAAAAUAGCAUAAGCUAAUGAAGAACCUUAAAAAUCAAACCAAGAUGGAGUGACCUAAGCCAAUACCAUUAAAAACAAGAAGUCACCUUUGCCCCAAAUAAAAAUUAAAGUUUAAAAUUACAGCCCUAAACUUUUUCCCCCAAAGCUAAAAUUAGGUGCAGCUAUAAAAUAAGGGACCCUGUGCUUAGCUAGCUGCGACACUUGUGCCUGGCUGUGCUAAGACCUAACCCAGUUUGUAUGCCUCCUAAUACUCAAAUAACGGUGUGGGAAGCGGGAUGCCGCUCUCCCACAAGGGGAACAAAGGGAGCGAGAAGUUGUCCCCCCCUCAGGGUGAACAAGAUGGCGCUGGCAGGGAAAGGAACUACUAAAGAAGUAAACAACAAAAUGGCAACGAGGUGCAUGCCUCCCGUGUGAUCUCAUAGCUGAUUGGAUAGAAGACGCAUGCCCUUCACAUGAUCAGCUCGUGGAUUGGACUGCUGUAUGCAUGGACUCUAUAGUGCUUUUGAUUGGUCACUGUGGGUAUAUAAACCGUGUGGCUUGUACUGGGGGCGCUCUCCAGACUCCCGAGUUCAGGAGGCCCAUUUGCGCAGACGCCGAAUAAAUCCUCUUGCUCUUGCA